GACAGAGGUGCAACGUUGUUCGGAAUUACUGGCGUAAAGCGUGUGUAGGCGGCCAUGUAAGUCAGGUGUGAAAGCCCAGGCUCAACCUGGGAAGUGCACUUGAUACUGCGUGGCUUGAGUAUGGAGAAGGUUGGUGGAAUUCUCGGGUGUAAGAGGUGAAAUUCGUAGAUAAUCGAGAGGAACACCGGUGGCGAAGGCGGCCAACUGGACGAAUACUGACGCUGAGACACGAAAGCGUGGGGAGCAAACAGG
rnacentral:rRNA from 1 species